rnacentral:rRNA from 1 species
UACGUAUGGUGCAAGCGUUAUCCGGAUUUACUGGGUGUAAAGGGAGCGUAGACGGUACUGCAAGUCAGAAGUGAAAGCCCAAGGCUCAACCAUGGGACUGCUUUUGAAACUGCAGGACUAGAGUGCAGGAGAGGUAAGUGGAAUUCCUAGUGUAGCGGUGAAAUGCGUAGAUAUUAGGAGGAACACCAGUGGCGAAGGCGGCUUACUGGACUGUAACUGACGUUGAGGCUCGAAAGCGUGGGGAGCAAACAGG